AUGCAUGUGCCAAAGUGAGAGAGACUACGAAAGGCUCAUUAAAACAUAUCAACUUGAUUGAAAGGAAAGAACAGCGGAAGGAUAACUUUGGUAAUUCUCAAGCUAAUACAUAAGACAAGGCAAUAGGAGUUGUGGAAGGUAAGCGCUUGAGAAACCAAACACGGAAGUGUACUAAAGUUGACCUGAAGCCGUUCUUGAUAGUUCAGUUAACCUGACUAUCAGUUCAUUCAUGGUAUGACCUAUCAACUGUAGACUGGGUGCCUUAGGCGCACAGUUGUUGUGACGGGUAACAGAGAAUCAGG
rnacentral:rRNA from 1 species